rnacentral:lncRNA from 1 species
UUUUCUUCUUCUUUUCUUCUCUUUCACGUUGCUUCCAACCUCCAUGGAAGCUUGAUAUGAACCUCCAUAACCUCCCUCAAAAUAGCUCAACUUUUCAUGCUUUUGGUGCACCCUUUCAUAAAUCUUUGUGCUCUUCCACUCUCUCUCUUUAAAACCCUUGAAAAAUCUUAUUUCCAUACUCUCUCUCACUAGUUAGGUGUUUUAGAGAGAGAAAGAGGAAGCUUUAUUAAUAGCUUGAAAAUUUUUGGAAAGAAUUUCAAGCACAAAGCUACCAAGGUGAGUGGUGAACUAGAAUUGAUUUUUAGUGUUGAAAAUGAUUAGUGUUUAGACUUGUGGGUGUUUUGGUAGUUGAGGUUGGAAAUUCACUUUGGAGUGAUUAGGAUAGUGAAAAUGGAUAGCCAUUUAAUGGCACUUGGAAACUAGUAGGUGAUAGCUUGUAGAACUUGUAAUUAUGAGAAUUGAGUUAAUUGUGAUGUUAAUGUGAUGAUAGGUUCCAACGAAGCCCCACCGUCCCAUUUGGACCAUUAGGGAAGUUAGAAUCGACUAAAGGUUCAACGAAAUACUGGUGAGUGGACUUGCAUUUCAAACUUGUUUUGGGAAUGCGAAUGUGUUUGCACAAGAUAUUUGAAUGAUUUUAUCAAACUUUUCUUUGCAAAUGUGUGCCAGGGAACAAGCCUUGAUUAAAUAUUUUUGAUAUUGUGAAAUGUGAGAUGUGUAUAAGGAUGAAUCCGUAUGCUUUAUAGUAUGUUGGUAGGUGUGUAUAUAUCUUAUGAAUAUGUGUUGUGUAUUGAUGAAUGAUGUUGGGUGGUAAUGUUGAAGUGUGCGAGUAGAGAGUGCACACAUGAUGAUGAUAGAGUGUGCGUGUAGGAAGUGCACACAUGAUGAUAAUAGAGUGUGCAAGUAGGGAGUGCACACAUGAUGACGAUGUAUGUAUAUAUAAUUGUGUGUGUUAUAGAAAGCUCAUGAAUGUGGUUUAUGGUUGUAAUGCAUGUUAAAUUUGGCAUGAUGAAUCUUGAGAAUUUCUCAUUUUCUUGCAAAUUGAUUUUUAUGGCAACACCAAAUGGAUUUUUAGUGAAAAGGAGGUCUUUUUUACACUUAGGUGCCCUGCUUCUCAUUGCAGCGAGAAACAUUCUGUUUUGGCAGCCAACAACUCGCUGCAGUGAAAAACUCUUGGGUUUUGGUGUAGUACUUUCACUUCGAUGAAGAUUUUGACUAUAUUCCCAUCUGAACUGAGAAAAGUGGUAAACACAAAAGUUGUAGCCCUACCUCUUAUAUUUCUAAUGGUCUAAAAAUUAGGUCAAUUGGACUUCUGUAGCGGGAGAUAUGAUAGAAAAAUUAAAAAACAUGCAAAUUAACACUAUUUUCUCGCUGCAGCGAGAAACUUUCUGUUUUGGUCGCCCGAAUCUCACUGUAGUGAGAAUGAACUUCGUUGCAGUGAGAAACUUGCUGCCAUGCUUGCUACCUUGCUUGAUUUUGAUAUACUUUUCACCCAUUUAACUUCAUGGAUUGAUUAUGGGUUUUUGCAACACUAUGAGGUUAUUAAUCAAAGUUUGAAAUGAGGGGUUUUUGGUAAGAAACUAAAUCAAUUGCAUUGUUUUUGAAACAAGUGCAUCAUGAUUUCCAAAUUCUUCCUAUUGAUUACUUGUUCCCUUCUUAUGUUCACUCACUGAGUUUACACUCACCAUUUUCAACUUCAUGUUUUCAGAUCAAGAGGCAGCUAGUAACUAGGACGAGGUGUCCUCGUAGACUUGUAUCGAUCUUUUGGUAGGUAUCAAUGACAUUCAGUAGCUGCACCUUCGCUAUGGUUGCUCCGCUGGAAGUCUAAAGUCCUUUUUGUUGAACACACGUGCCGUAAUGUAAAUUGUUAAGACGUGUAUAUGUCUUAAGCAAUAGAUGUUUAUAUUGUUUAAUGUUGCCACUAUGUAAUGGCACGGAUGAUAUUAUUUUGAAUCAUAUAAAUGUGAA